rnacentral:rRNA from 1 species
GAUGAACGCUGGCGGCGUGCCUAAUACAUGCAAGUCGAGCGAACAGACGAGGAGCUUGCUCCUCUGACGUUAGCGGCGGACGCGUGAGUAACACGUGGAUAACCUACCUAUAAGACUGGGAUAACUUCGGGAAACCGGAGCUAAUACCGGAUAAUAUAUUGAACCGCAUGGUUCAAUAGUGAAAGACGGUUUUGCUGUCACUUAUAGAUGGAUCCGCGCCGCAUUAGCUAGUUGGUAAGGUAACGGCUUACCAAGGCAACGAUGCGUAGCCGACCUGAGAGGGUGAUCGGCCACACUGGAACUGAGACACGGUCCAGACUCCUACGGGAGGCAGCAGUAGGGAAUCUUCCGCAAUGGGCGAAAGCCUGACGGAGCAACGCCGCGUGAGUGAUGAAGGUCUUCGGAUCGUAAAACUCUGUUAUUAGGGAAGAACAAAUGUGUAAGUAACUAUGCACGUCUUGACGGUACCUAAUCAGAAAGCCACGGCUAACUACGUG